GGUUAAGCGACUAAGCGUACACGGUGGAUGCCCUGGCAGUCAGAGGCGAUGAAGGGCGUGCUAAUCUGCGAUAAGCGCCGGUAAGGUGAUAUGAACCGUUAUAACCGGCGAUACCCGAAUGGGGAAACCCAGUGUGAUUCGUCACACUAUCAUUAACUGAAUCCAUAGGUUAAUGAGGCGAACCGGGGGAACUGAAACAUCUAAGUACCCCGAGGAAAAGAAAUCAACCGAGAUUCCCCCAGUAGCGGCGAGCGAACGGGGAGGAGCCCAGAGCCUGAAUCAGCAUGUGUGUUAGUGGAAGCGUCUGGAAAGGUGCGCGAUACAGGGUGACAGCCCCGUACACAAAAGCGCAUGUGCUGUGAGCUCGAUGAGUAGGGCGGGACACGUGGUAUCCUGUCUGAAUAUGGGGGGACCAUCCUCCAAGGCUAAAUACUCCUGACUGACCGAUAGUGAACCAGUACCGUGAGGGAAAGGCGAAAAGAACCCCGGCGAGGGGAGUGAAAAAGAACCUGAAACCGUGUACGUACAAGCAGUGGGAGCACAGGUUUACCUGUGUGACUGCGUACCUUUUGUAUAAUGGGUCAGCGACUUAUAUUCUGUAGCAAGGUUAACCGUAUAGGGGAGCCGUAGGGAAACCGAGUCUUAACCGGGCGUUAAGUUGCAGGGUAUAGACCCGAAACCCGGUGAUCUAGCCAUGGGCAGGUUGAAGGUUGGGUAACACUAACUGGAGGACCGAACCGACUAAUGUUGAAAAAUUAGCGGAUGACCUGUGGCU
rnacentral:rRNA from 1 species